UACGUAGGGUGCAAGCGUUGUCCGGAAUUAUUGGGCGUAAAGAGCUCGUAGGCGGCCUGUCGCGUCGGCUGUGAAAACCCGGGGCUCAACCCCGGGCCUGCAGUCGAUACGGGCAGGCUAGAGUCCGGUAGGGGAGACUGGAAUUCCUGGUGUAGCGGUAAAAUGCGCAGAUAUCAGGAGGAACACCGGUGGCGAAGGCGGGUCUCUGGGCCGGAACUGACGCUAAGGAGCGAAAGCGUGGGGAGCGAACAGG
rnacentral:rRNA from 1 species